rnacentral:lncRNA from 1 species
UCGUGAAAUAGAUAUGUAAAUUAUUAAGAAUACAAUAUAAAAUAAACAAUCAUAAUUUCAAUAUCAAUAAACUUGAAUUAACCAUGAUAAAUGACAUUAUUUCAAUGACACUAACCUUGCAUAAAGGAGAAAAUAAGUCUUGCAAGAAAAAAAAUCAAUAAAUAAACUUGCAAAAAGAUCAAAGAUGUGUCCACUACACAUGAAGUCCUUUAAUAAAAAAUUUAAUAACAAAUAUCUAAAAAUAUCAUUGGCCAUGGCAUUAAUUAAGGCAACAUGGUCGAUCAAAUUGUGCCAAAAGUGUUUUCUCAUAUUGAUCUGAAUUCAUUCAGAAAAGAGUUCAAUUGCAAAAAUAAUCUAGAAUUCAUAUAUUGUUAGAAUAAAGAAUAAAAAGAAGAUAUAAAUUAAUCUGUCCACUAAAAUGUCCUUUGUUUGCCUUUUGUCCGCAAAACACCACCACACAAUCUUCUUCAUGCGCAUAGCCAUAACAUCAAUCACAUAAUGCCGAGAGCUCCUUCCCUGCAUAUAGAUAGUAUCAGGGAAACUAUAAUCAAAUGAACAAUAUCUAUCACAAAAUACCCAUCAAAAAUAUGAAUUUACUGGACAUAUCUACACGUACAAGUUUAGUUCCAUCUACUUUCACCAAACUUCCAAGAAAAGGGUUCACUAAUCGUGUUUCGUUCUCUUAUUUUAUUUUUUUUAGUUUAU